GACGAACGCUGGCGGCGUGCUUAACACAUGCAAGUCGAACGGUAAGGCCCUUUCGGGGGUACACGAGUGGCGAACGGGUGAGUAACACGUGGGUGAUCUGCCCUGCACUUUGGGAUAAGCCUGGGAAACUGGGUCUAAUGCCGGAUAGGACUACGCGAUGCAUGUCGUGUGGUGGAAAGCUUUUGCGGUGUGGGAUGGGCCCGCGGCCUAUCAGCUUGUUGGUGGGGUGAUGGCCUACCAAGGCGACGACGGGUAGCCGGCCUGAGAGGGUGUCCGGCCACACUGGGACUGAGAUACGGCCCAGACUCCUACGGGAGGCAGCAGUGGGGAAUAUUGCACAAUGGGCGCAAGCCUGAUGCAGCGACGCCGCGUGGGGGAUGACGGCCUUCGGGUUGUAAACCCCUUUCAGCACAGACGAAGCGUAAGUGACGGUAUGUGCAGAAGAAGCACCGGCCAACUACGUG
rnacentral:rRNA from 1 species